rnacentral:rRNA from 1 species
GAAUAAUUCACAAUGGGGGCAACCCUGAUGGUGCAACGCCGCGUGGAGGAUGAAGGUCUUCGGAUUGUAAACUCCUGUCAUCCGGGAGCAAGACCUGGCGGUCAAUAGCCGACAGGGUUGAUAGUACCGGAAGAGGAAGGGACGGCAAAGUCUGUGCCAGCAGCCGCGGUAAGAAGAAGGUCCCGAGCGUUGUCCGGAAUCACUGGGCGUAAAGGGAGCGUAGGCGGCGCGGCAAGUCAGACGUGAAAUCCCGGGGCUCAACCCCGGAACUGCGUCCGAUACUGCCGUGCUAGAGGAUUGGAGAGGUAGCUGGAAUUCACGGUGUAGCAGUGAAAUGCGUGGAUAUCGUGAGGAACACUCGUGGCGAAAGCGAGCUACUGGACAACUCCUGACGCUGAGGCUCGAAGGCCGGGGGAGCGAAAGGG